rnacentral:lncRNA from 1 species
UUGGAAGUUCUGUGUUUGAAUCUCUGUGCAAGCGAGAAUGCUAAUCCUUUUACUCGGUUUCCUGGAAGAGUUGUGUAGAAGAUGGAUUCUGAGUAGUGGAUUGUUAGUGGGUAGUUAAUUGAGAGAAGAUAGGGGAGUUGGGAUUUGAGGAGUUAUCAGGAUUAUUUUUGUUUUUUUAUUCUUUUAAAAAUUUGUUUCUCUCUCUUUCUUUCUAAAAUUCUGACGUUGACUUUCUUCUUCACUUUUCUUCUUCGAUUUUUCACGUCUUCCAGUUGGAUUUUUCGCAGUCAAUCAUCGCUCUUGC